GAUGAACGCUGGCGGCGUGCCUAAUACAUGCAAGUCGAGCGAACAGACGAGGAGCUUGAUCCUCUGAAGUUAGCGGCGGACGGGUGAGUAACACGUGGAUAAAAUACCUAUAAGACUGGGAUAACUUCGGGAAACCGGAGCUAAUACCGGAUAAUAUAUUGAACCGCAUGGUUCAAUAGUGAAAGACGGUUUUGCUGUCACUUAUAGAUGGAUCCGCGCCGCAUUAGCUAGUUGGUAAGGUAACGGCUUACCAAGGCGACGAUGCGUAGCCGACCUGAGAGGGUGAUCGGCCACACUGGAACUGAGACACGGUCCAGACUCCUACGGGAGGCAGCAGUAGGGAAUCUUCCGCAAUGGGCGAAAGCCUGACGGAGCAACGCCGCGUGAGUGAUGAAGGUCUUCGGAUCGUAAAACUCUGUUAUUAGGGAAGAACAAAUGUGUAAGUAACUAUGCACGUCUUGACGGUACCUAAUCAGAAAGCCACGGCUAACUACGUG
rnacentral:rRNA from 1 species